GCUACAGUGGUGUGAGUAGUUAUUUGACCUACAGUGCCUCGAUUAUUCACAAUAAGGUUGCUAUAGUUUGACUACACUAUCACUCAGUUUUCUAGCUAUCUAAAACUUUGCGGUGUAUGUUGGCUGCAGUAGGUUCAUUAUAGGAAUAGGAUGUACACCUAAAUGUAAUCUAUCGAUCUUGAUAGAUAAAAGAAAAUCUUAUGUA
rnacentral:lncRNA from 1 species